CCGAGUUUACAACUCCCAAACCCCUGUGAACAUACCACUUGUUGCCUCGGCGGAUCAGCCCGCUCCCGGUAAAACGGGACGGCCCGCCAGAGGACCCCUAACUCUGUUUCUAUAUGUAACUUCUGAGUAAAACCAUAAAUAAAUCA
rnacentral:misc_RNA from 1 species